UGAUGAUGAUGAUGAUGAUGAUGGUGGUGGUGGUGGUGGUGAUGAUGAUGAUGAUGAUCAUGAUCAUCAUCAUCACCAUCAUCAUCAUCAUCGUUU
rnacentral:pre_miRNA from 1 species